rnacentral:rRNA from 1 species
CAACCUGCCGUCUACUCUUGGACAGCCUUCUGAAAGGAAGAUUAAUACAAGAUGGCAUCAUGAGUCCGCAUGUUCACAUGAUUAAAGGUAUUCCGGUAGACGAUGGGGAUGCGUUCCAUUAGAUAGUAGGCGGGGUAACGGCCCACCUAGUCUUCGAUGGAUAGGGGUUCUGAGAGGAAGGUCCCCCACAUUGGAACUGAGACACGGUCCAAACUCCUACGGGAGGCAGCAGUGAGGAAUAUUGGUCAAUGGGCGAGAGCCCGAACCAGCCAAGUAGCGUGAAGGAUGACUGCCCUAUGGGUUGUAAACUUCUUUUAUAAAGGAAUAAAGUCGGGUAUGGAUACCCGUUUGCAUGUACUUUAUGAAUAAGGAUCGGCUAACUCCGUGCCAGCAGCCGCGGUAAUACGGAGGAUCCGAGCGUUAUCCGGAUUUAUUGGGUUUAAAGGGAGCGUAGAUGGAUGUUUAAGUCAGUUGUGAAAGUUUGCGGCUCAACCGUAAAAUUGCAAUUGAUACUGGCAGUCUUGAGUACAGUUGAGGUAGGCGGAAUUCGUGGUGUAGCGGUGAAAUGCUUAGAUAUCACGAAGAACUCCGAUUG